CAGCAGCCGCGGGAAUACGUAGGUGGCAAGCGUUGUCCGGAAUUAUUGGGCGUAAAGCGCGCGCAGGCGGAUCAGUUAGUCUGUCUUAAAAGUUCGGGGCUUAACCCCGUGAUGGGAUGGAAACUGCUGAUCUAGAGUAUCGGAGAGGAAAGUGGAAUUCCUAGUGUAGCGGUGAAAUGCGUAGAUAUUAGGAAGAACACCAGUGGCGAAGGCGACUUUCUGGACGAAAACUGACGCUGAGGCGCGAAAGCCAGGGGAGCGAACGGGAUUAGAUACCCGGGUAGUCCCUGUCUCUUAUACA
rnacentral:rRNA from 1 species